AGAACAACUGAGAGUGGCCUCUCGCGCUUUCCCCCAGUUCUCCCUUAAAAAUACUUGGGGGAAGAAAGUGCUUGACUACUCACAGUCCUGUGAUGACCUGUGGCGGAAGGUAAACCGAAGGUGACUGCGGUUAACGUCCUCGAUGGGAAUGGCCACCUUCAAGAAUUGAAAAAGAAGUUUAAGCACUGUUAUCAAUAUCAUCCAGCGUAACAGCUUUAUUCAACUGGAGCUAUCAGAGCCAACCCCUGGCCUGGUUUUCAAAUAUUCAAGCUCUUGGCGGUGAGACGGUGUUUACUCCAUCGUGGAGAUGUGAGCACGCUGCAUUAUGAAAAGGCACCAUAUCAGAGCUACAGAACAGGAUCCCACUCCCCAGCAAUGACCUCCACAGGCUGGCAGCUCGGUUUUUUUGUUUGGUGUAAAGACAGCAUGCCACACAUAAAACAGUACUGGGAAGAGAAAGACAAUAGCUAUCUUAAAAAGACUCUGUCAUUUGUCUCCAUGAACGUCCUAUUUUUACGUCCAAAAGGAGAUGAGAGUAAAUGUAUUCUAAGAAACACCAGUGUGGUUCCUUAGCAACCUUGAAUGACUUUGUUGGGAGACACUCUGCCUGCCUGGAGCAGCUCCCGGGCUGAGGAGGAUGUUAGGAUGUUUCCUUGGGUUACAAAUGAGCAUUUCAUAAUCAGCGCCAUGUGAUAAAAUGACCAUGUAAAUAAUACCUUAACAGUCUCAA
ensembl:lncRNA novel transcript